GAACGCGAAGAACCUUACCCGGGCUUGAAUUGCAGAGGAAGGAUUUAGAGAUAAUGACGCCCUUCGGGGCCUCUGUGAAGGUGCUGCAUGGUUGUCGUCAGCUCGUGCCGUGAGGUGUCGGCUUAAGUGCCAUAACGAGCGCAACCCCUCUCUUCAGUUGCCAUCAGGUAAUGCUGGGCACUCUGGAGACACUGCCACCGUAAGGUGUGAGGAAGGUGGGGAUGACGUCAAAUCAGCACGGCCCUUACGUCCGGGGCUACACACGUGUUACAAUGGCCGGUACAGAGGGAUGGUGUAAUGCAAAUUGCAUCAAAUCUUGAAAGCCGGUCCCAGUUCGGACUGGGGUCUGCAACCCGACCCCACGAAGCUGGAUUCGCUAGUAAUCGCGCAUCAGCCAUGGCGCGGUGAAUACGUUCCCGGGUCUUGUACACACC
rnacentral:rRNA from 1 species